rnacentral:rRNA from 1 species
AUUGAACGCUGGCGGCAGGCCUAACACAUGCAAGUCGAACGAGUGGCGGACGGGUGAGUAAUGUCUGGGAAACUGCCUGAUGGAGGGGGAUAACUACUGGAAACGGUAGCUAAUACCGCAUACCAUCAGAUGUGCCCAGAUGGGAUUAGCUAGUAGGUGAGGUAACGGCUCACCUAGGCGACGAUCCCUAGGUGGUCUGAGAGGAUGACCCGCCACACUUGAAAUGAGACACGGUCCAGACUCCUACGGGAGGCAGUAGUGGGGAAGAUUGCGCAAGGGGCGCAAGCCUGAUGCAGCCCUGCCGCGUGUAUGAAGAAGGCCUUCGGGUUGUAAAGUACUUUCAGCGGGGAGGCGUUACCCGCAGAAGAAGCACCGGCUAACUACGUGCCAGCAGCCGCGGUAAUUC